AUUGAACGCUGGCGGCAUGCUUUACACAUGCAAGUCGAACGGUAACAGGCCGCAAGGUGCUGACGAGUGGCGAACGGGUGAGUAAUGCAUCGGAACGUGCCCAGUCGUGGGGGAUAACUACUCGAAAGAGUAGCUAAUACCGCAUACGAUCUAUGGAUGAAAGCGGGGGACCGUAAGGCCUCGCGCGAUUGGAGCGGCCGAUGUCAGAUUAGGUAGUUGGUGGGGUAAAGGCUCACCAAGCCAACGAUCUGUAGCUGGUCUGAGAGGACGACCAGCCACACUGGGACUGAGACACGGGCCAGACUCCUACGGGAGGCAGCAGUGGGGAAUUUUGGACAAUGGGCGCAAGCCUGAUCCAGCAAUGCCGCGGGCAGGAAGAAGGCCUUCGGGUUGUAAACUGCUUUUGUACGGAAAGAAACGGCUCUGGUUAAUACCCGGGGCUAAUGACGGUACCGUAAGAAUAAGCACCGGCUAACUACGUG
rnacentral:rRNA from 1 species